CAAAUUUGAAAUCUGGCCUUCUGGUCCGAAUUGUAAUUUGUAGAGGAUGAUUUUGGUGCGGUACCUUCCGAGUUCCUUGGAACAGGACGCCUUAGAGGGUGAGAGCCCCGUACGGUUGGAUGCCUAGCCUUUGUAAAUCUCCUUCGACGAGUCGAGUAGUUUGGGAAUGCUGCUCUAAAUGGGAGGUAAAUUUCUUCUAAAGCUAAAUAUUGGCCAGAGACCGAUAGCGCACAAGUAGAGUGAUCGAAAGAUGAAAAGCACUUUGAAAAGAGGGUUAAAUAGCACGUGAAAUUGUUGAAAGGGAAGGAUUUAUGACCAGACUUUUUCUAGGCGGAUCAUCCGGUGUUCUCACCGGUGCACUUUGUCUAGUUUAGGCCAGCAUCGAUUUUCGGCAGCGGAUAAAAGCUUCAGGAAUGUGGCUCCUCCGGGAGUGUUAUAGCCUGUUGUAUAAUACGCCGCUGGGGAUCGAGGUACGCGCUUCUGCAAGGAUGCUGGCGUAAUGGUUAUCAAUCACCCGUCUUGAAACACGGACCAAGGAGUCGAACAUUUAUGCGAGUGUUUGGGUGUUAAACCCUCACGCGUAAUGAAAGUGAACGGAGGUGAGAGCCCUUACGGGUGCAUCAUCGACCGAUCCUGAUGUUUUCGGAUGGAUUUGAGUAAGAGCAUAACUGUUCGGACCCGAAAGAUGGUGAACUAUGCGUGGAUAGGGUGAAGCCAGAGGAAACUCUGGUGGAGGCUCGCAG
rnacentral:rRNA from 1 species